rnacentral:misc_RNA from 1 species
AACGCACAUUGCGCCCCUUGGUAUUCCAUGGGGCAUGCCUGUUCGAGCGUCAUUUGUACCUUCAAGCUUUGCUUGGUGUUGGGUGUUUGUCCUCUCCUUGGUGUUUGGACUCGCCUUAAAACAAUUGGCAGCCAGUGUUUUGGUAUUGAAGCGCAGCACAAGUCGCGAUUCUGACCUAGUAACACUUGCAUCCACAAGUCUUUUUAACUUUUGACCUCGGAUCAGGUAGGGAUACCCGCUGAACUUAA